GGAUCAUUAGUGAAUGUGCGGCGAGGGCGCAAGCCUGAGCCUGCCAAUCCACCCUUGUGCAAUGUACCGUACCCUGGUGGGCGGCUUUCCGGCCUGGCCGGUUAGCCUCCACCGAAGGGCUUUCGAGCCUGACCAACGCUUUAAUCUCUGUCUGAACUUAAAGAACCAAAUGAUCUAAACAACUUUUGACAACGGAUCUCUUGGCUCUCGCAACGAUGAAGAACGCAGCGAAAUGCGAUACGUAAUGUGAAUUGCAGAAUUCCGUGAGUCAUCGAAUCUUUGAACGCAUCUUGCGCUUCUUGGUAUUCCAGGAAGCAUGCCUGUUUGAGUCUCAGUUGACUCUCUGACCGCUUCGGCGGCCAGGAUCUGAGCGGACCAGCGGUUAACCGCUCGCCGCUCUAAACGCAUGCAGCCGGCCUCUAGAGUGUUGGACUCGGAAUGGCUUGAUAAUGUCUUUGACUUAUUAGUUAUCCGGAUUCAGCGUCUCCUUAGGCCAAGGCGCCAGAUUGGUUGUGCCUGCGAAAGCGGCGCUUACACUCGACACCUUGAGCUCAAAUCAGGCA
rnacentral:rRNA from 1 species